AUCCAGCUGACGAGUCCCAAAUAGGACGAAACGCACGUCAUGGAU
rfam:Schistosoma margrebowiei strain Zambia genome assembly, scaffold: SMRZ_contig0000682